rnacentral:rRNA from 1 species
UACGUAGGGUGCAAGCGUUAAUCGGAAUUACUGGGCGUAAAGCGUGCGCAGGCGGUUUUGUAAGUGUGACGUGAAAUCCCCGGGCUUAACCUGGGAAUUGCGUUGGAGACUGCAAGGCUAGAAUCUGGCAGAGGGGGGUAGAAUUCCACGUGUAGCAGUGAAAUGCGUAGAGAUGUGGAGGAACACCGAUGGCGAAGGCAGCCCCCUGGGUCAAGAUUGACGCUCAUGCACGAAAGCGUGGGGAGCAAACAGG